GACAGUUUGUCCGAGUGGUCUAAGGCGCUGGCUUCAGGCGUCAGUCCGCAAGGGUGUGGGCUCGAAUCCCACAGCUAUUA
rfam:Perkinsus marinus ATCC 50983 gcontig_1104296566018, whole genome shotgun sequence.